GACGAACGCUGGCGGCGUGCUUAACACAUGCAAGUCGAGCGGUAAGGCCCUUUCGGGGGUACACGAGCGGCGAACGGGUGAGUAACACGUGGGUGACCUGCCUCUAGCUCUGGGAUAAGCCUGGGAAACUGGGUCUAAUACCGGAUAUGACUCCACGGCGCAUGUUGUGGGGUGGAAAGCCUUGUGUGGCUAGAGAUGGGCCCGCGGCCUAUCAGCUUGUUGGUGGGGUGAUGGCCUACCAAGGCGACGACGGGUAGCCGGCCUGAGAGGGCGACGGCCACACUGGGACUGAGACACGGCCCAGACUCCUACGGGAGGCAGCAGUGGGGAAUCUUGCGCAAUGGGCGAAAGCCUGACGCAGCGACGCCGCGUGAGGGAUGACGGCCUGGUGUAAC
rnacentral:rRNA from 1 species